AGAAAGAAAGAAAGAAAAAAAAGCCCUAAUGCAUGCAUUAUUUCAUUCUAUGUUUUUUGUUGGAGAAGUUUUAUUGUGGCCACCAUGCAUGAUUUAGUUGGAGUCUAAAAUAUGGUUUGAACAAGAGAUUCAAUAGGGAUUUGAUUGUGUGGUACUAAUGGAAUGAGAGCUGAAGCAGUUGAAGAUGGACGAGUAGAUGAAAACUCAACCACUUCUUCAAAAUCAGGCUCGUCAUUCCAGGCAAUAAUAGGUCACCCUAUUGUCAUGCUCAUUCUUUCAUUUGUUUAUAUAGAUUAGGUGAAUAAUUUUAUUAGAGUAUAUGCCUAUAGCUAUGUCAGUUAUUCCCACGGCUUGUGUGGGACACCUUACACAUUUUUUCGUAAUAAAAAGAUAUUUUUAUGAAAUCUUUUGUUA